GACUAUUUGCCUGAGUGGUUAAAGGGUCAGACUCGAAAUCUGAUGGGGUCUCCCCGCGCAGGUUCGAAUCCUGCAGUAGUCG
rfam:Stylonychia lemnae strain 130c genome assembly, contig: Contig6860